rnacentral:rRNA from 1 species
GGCGUAGAUGGGCGAAGCCUGACGCAGCACGCCGCGUGGGGGAUGAAGGCCCUCGGGUUGUAAACUCCUUUCAGUGGGAACGAAAUUGACGGUACCCACAGAAGAAGCCCCGGCUAACUACGUGCCAGCAGCCGCGGUGAUACGUAGGGGGCGAGCGUUGUCCGGAUUCACUGGGCGUAAAGAGCUCGUAGGCGGCUUGAUAAGUCGGGUGUGAAACCCCCAGGCUCAACCUGGGAUCGCCACUCGAUACUGUCAUGGCUAGAGUCCGGUAGGGGACCAUGGAAUUCCUGGUGUAGCGGUGAAAUGCGCAGAUAUCAGGAGGAACACCAGUAGCGAAGGCGGUGGUCUGGGCCGGUACUGACGCUGAGGAGCGAAAGCGUGGGGAGCGAACAGGAUUAGAUACCCUGGUAGUCCACGCUGUAAACGUUGGGCACUAGGUGUGGGGAGCUAUCGACGCUCUCCGUGCCGCAGCUAACGCAUUAAGUGCCCCGCCUGGGGAGUACGGCCGCAAGGC